GACGGAGGAGGGAAGCGUUAUCCGGAAUUAUUGGGCGUAAAGUGUCCGUAGGUGGUUUGGCAAGUCUGGGGUUAAAGCCCGGAGCCUAACUCCGGAUCGGCCCUGGAAACUGCCAGACUAGAGUAAGGUAGGGGUUGCGGGAAUUCCCGGUGUAGCGGUGAAAUGCGUAGAUAUCGGGAAGAACACCAGUGGCGAAAGCGCGCAACUGGGCCAUUACUGACACUGAGGGACGAAAGCUAGGGGAGCGAAUGGG
rnacentral:rRNA from 1 species